rnacentral:rRNA from 1 species
AUACGUAGGGUGCGAGCGUUGUCCGGAAUUACUGGGCGUAAAGAGCUCGUAGGUGGUUUGUCGCGUCGUCUGUGAAAUUCCGGGGCUUAACUCCGGGCGUGCAGGCGAUACGGGCAUAACUUGAGUACUGUAGGGGAGACUGGAAUUCCUGGUGUAGCGGUGAAAUGCGCAGAUAUCAGGAGGAACACCGGUGGCGAAGGCGGGUCUCUGGGCAGUAACUGACGCUGAGGAGCUAAAGCAUGGGUAGCGAACAGGAUUAGAUACCCUGGUAGUCCAUGCCGUAAACGGUGGGCGCUAGGUGUAGGGGUCUUCCACGACUUCUGUGCCGUAGCUAACGCAUUAAGCGCCCCGCCUGGGGAGUACGGCCGCAAGGCUAAAACUCGAAUGAAUUGACGGGG